GACGAACGCUGGCGGCGUGCUUAACACAUGCAAGUCGAACGGAAAGGCCCUGCUUUUGUGGGUUGCUCGAGUGGCGAACGCGUGAGUAACACGUGAGUAACCUGCCCUUGACUUUGGGAUAACUUCAGGAAACUGGGGCUAAUACCGGAUAGGAGCUCCUGCUGCAUGGUGGGGGUUGGAAAGUUUCGGCGGUUGGGGAUGGACUCGCGGCUUAUCAGCUUGUUGGUGGGGUAGUGGCUUACCAAGGCUUUGACGGGUAGCCGGCCUGAGAGGGUGACCGGCCACAUUGGGACUGAGAUACGGCCCAGACUCCUACGGGAGGCAGCAGUGGGGAAUAUUGCACAAUGGGCGGAAGCCUGAUGCAGCAACGCCGCGUGCGGGAUGACGGCCUUCGGGUUGUAAACCGCUUUCGCCUGUGACGAAGCGUGAGUGACGGUAAUGGGUAAAGAAGCACCGGCUAACUACGUG
rnacentral:rRNA from 1 species